GACGAACCACCCAAACGUUAUUCGGAAUCACUGGGCUUAAAGAGUGCGUAGGCGGCUCAGAAAGUUAGGUGUGAAAUCCCACAGCUCAACUGUGGAACUGCGCUUAAAACUACUGAGCUAGAGGGAUACAGAGGUAAGCGGAACUGAUAGUGGAGCGGUGAAAUGCGUUGAUAUCAUCAGGAACACCGGUGGCGAAGGCGGCUUACUGGGUAUCUUCUGACGCUGAGGUACGAAAGCUAGGGGAGCGAACGGG
rnacentral:rRNA from 1 species